rnacentral:rRNA from 1 species
GAGCACGUAGGUGGGUUUGUAAGUCAGAUGUGAAAGCCUCCUGUUCAACGGGAGAAUUGCAUCUGAAACUACUGAUCUUGAGUGUAGGAGGGGAGAAUGGAACUUCUGGUGGAGCGGUGAAAUGCGUAGAUAUCAGAAGGAACGCCGGCGGCGAAAGCGAUUCUCUGGCCUAUUACAGACACUCAGUGUGCGAAAGCUAGGGGAGCAAACGGGAUUAGAUACCCCGGUAGUCCUAGCCGUAAACGAUGGGCACUAAGUAGAGGGGUU